ACGCGGGCCGGCUGCUGGGCGUGGAGGACGGCUCCCAGGGCUGAGUGUGCCAGGGUGUGGUGGAGCCGGCCCUCGGGCCUGCGGGCAGGGCGGUGGCACCCAAGAUAAGCCAGGGCCUGGCCGGGAGGGUGAUCCCGGGCAAGUGUCGCUCAGGCCAGUGGUAAGUCACCUCGUUGGAGCGGGCGCGAGGCGUGGCAGGUGGAUGCUGCGUGCUUCCCGGGAGCGCUGAGGGCUCCCCUCCCCGGUGGUGUGGGACUUGUCUCCCAGCGGGAGGGGCAGGGGGUAGCAGGUGUGUUUGAAAUAUAGGAACAGCUAAGGGGGAAGGCACAUUUUGCCUGACCCACUUGCCCUGACAUCAGGAGGAGCUCAAGCCGCGGCAUCCUGACUGCCACGACUCAGGGCUGGGGCAACAUGAGCCGGUCCAGGCAUGUGGGCAAGAUCCGGAAACGCCUGGAAGAGGUCAAGAGCCAGUGGGUCCGGCCCACCAGGGCCGAUUUCAGCGACAAUGAGAGUGCCCGGCUGGCCACAGACGCCCUCUUGGAUGGGGGUCCUGAGGCCUACCGGCAGGCGCUCACCCAGGAAGGUGAGGUAGACUUCUUGUCCUCGGUGGAGGCCCAGUACAUCCAGGCCCAGGCCAAGGAGCCCGCUUGUGCCCUGGAGCCCCCAGGAGGGGCAGAGGCAGGCCCCCGGGGAAUGGACUCCCACUCCCUGCACUCAGGCACCUACUUCCCCAUGGCCUCUGAGGGCAGCGAGCCGACCCUGUUGCACACCUGGGCCUCAGCCGAGAAGCCCUACCUGAAGGAAAAGUCCAGCGCCACUGUGUACUUCCAGAUGGACAAGCAUAACAACAUCAGAGACCUCAUUCGUCGCUGCAUCAGCCGGACCAGCCAGGUCCUGGCCAUCGUGAUGGAUAUGUUCACAGAUGUGGAGAUCUUCUGUGACAUUCUAGAGGCGGCCAACAAGCGUGGGGUGUUUGUCUGUGUGCUCCUGGACCAGGGAGGUGUGAAGCUCUUCCAAGAGAUGUGUGACAAAGUCCAGAUCUCUGACAGCCACCUCAAGAACAUUUCCAUCCGGAGUGUGGAAGGAGAGGUGUACUGUGCCAAAUCAGGCCGGAAGUUCGCUGGCCAAAUCCAGGAGAAGUUCAUCAUUUCGGACUGGAGAUAUGUCCUGUCGGGAUCGUACAGCUUCACCUGGCUCUGCGGACACGUCCACCGGAACAUCCUCUCCAAGUUCACGGGCGCCGCGGUGGAGCUGUUUGACGAGGAGCUCCGCCACCUCUACGCCUCCUCCAAGCCGGUGAUGGGCCCCAAGUCCCCCAGGCCGGUGGCGCCCCUGCAGCCCAGAGCAGGCCGCAGCCCCCCGCCCGGCCGCCUCAGUGGUAGUAGCUGCUCAGCCAGCGACCACACAUCCUCCGACCCCUUCAGCAGCGCCUCGACGGGCAGCAACCCCCAGAACCAGAGUCGGCCGGCGGCGUCGGGGCCCAGCAGUCCCCUGGCCCCCAGCUCCCCCCCGCCCCCCAGGCUUCGGCCCCACCAUGGCCCGUGGGGGGCCCUGAGCCCACAGGCGCACUUCUCCCCGAGGCCCCUCGCCAGCGCCCCAGCUCCCUGCAGCAACCUCAGUGCCUACAGGCCCACGCGGCAGCAGCUAGAGCAGCUUGGCUUGCUGCCCCGGACGGUCCACAUCUGGAGGCCAUUUCUACAAGCCUCCCCUCAUUUCUGAUGGGUCGCAUCCCCCCAGCAGCCCUCCCAGGGCCAGGGCUGGGCAUGCCUGGACUGUCUGGCCCAAGGACCCCACCUCAAUGACUAGUAGCUUUUGAACUUGCUUCCCUUUGGACUAAAAGUGCUUGGACAACAUCGUUGCCUGUGUUUGUUCCCAGGCCUGUGACCAUUCACUUGCCAACACCCUCCAGUCCCAGGGGUUCCCUCUCUAGUUUGGCCUAUGGAGCACAUUCCAGAAAGUUCUAGGGAGGUGGGGGGUGGGGAGCUAGAGGACAAAAGCAUGAAAAUGGAGUCCUUUUCUUCCAAAGAGCAGCCAGUGCUUUAAUAAUAAUGUUUCCUGAAUCUCUGUAAUAUAAGAAGGGGCAGAUGCAGCCCAGGUUUCACAUAUGGGUAAACCGAGGCACGAAGAGGCAGACUGUGGGUGUGACCAAGGUACUCCUGUUUCCCAGUGCCCGGGAAUGGCCCACUCUACAGAAGGUAUGGGAACAUUUCGGGAUGUUUCUGGGAAGGGUGGUAAAGGCAUAGUAGUGAGGUAUCCCUGGGGCCGGUGAAUUAGGGAUAAAGCCCCAGAAUGUGCCACUCUAAGUAGUGUGGGGUCGGUUGAAAUUGUAGCCCCCAAGGAUGGGGCAAGCCAGGGUGUCUGUGGGAUGGAAUUGGGCCAGGCGGUUCAUCAGCUCACGUUCUGGCUUUGGGGAGCCUUGGGCUGGUCUCGAGGUCCCUGAGUCUGGGCCAGUCCCAGGGGCUUGUGUUGUCAGGAUCUGGGAACCGCCCUGCAGCAGCGCCCAGGGCAGCCCGAAGCAACCAGGAAGGGUUCGGCAUUGACCUUGCAGCCCCCUUGCAGUCAGAGCCGGGGACUCCAUCUGGCUUGUUGACACCUGAAGCAAGGAUGCUGGACCCUCACAAGCCCCAUCAUUCAUUCACUGUCAGAUUCACAGUGUGCCCUCUGUUCUGGAGGUGGUCCCAGAUCUUGGGGUACAAGGAAUACAGCAGGCACAGGGAGGGCCAGGCAGCCCAGUUUGGGGAGGUCAGGGGACACUUCCCAGAGAAGGGACAGUUAAGGAGGCCUGAUGAACAAGGGCAUUAAAGGUGGAGGGAGGGUUGGGGCCCAGGCUGUCCCAGCCUGACAGAAGUAGGCACAGAAGCCCCUCAAGCAUCUUCCUGUUUCUGUGACCUCCCCCUGCCACCAACUCACCUCAGCAAAUGUCUUCUCGUCGCUCGUCUCUGGCUCAGCAGCUUUGCCUUUGCCAUGGAGGGCUGGGAGGACAGAGCCCUUCCUCCUGUUGGCUUCGGAACCCCAAGAGCUCAUGGCAUCCCAAGUCACGCUCUCCAGAGGGUUCCUCCCUUCAGCGCAUCCCCGUGUUUGUCCAGUGUUUGGCAAAGGCAAAGGCGUCUUUGCUUCUGUUUUCUUUUAAAUAGCAUUCCUGUCCUCAUUUCACUUUUUUCCUCCUUAGUUCCUGAAAGUCCAACAACAGCAACAAACCCUUUGGUUCCUGAAGGUUCUUUAAACCCCGGCCCUGAUGUGCUGUUUUCCUGCUGACCGCCGUAAUGAGGUUAGAACAGUUGGGUGCUGCUGAAGGUUCUAAACCGGAUUCUGCAGUCUGCCGAGAAAGCUUCAGGAAGUGCGUGUGACCCCUGCCUGCUGGGACGUUAGCUGCGGUUUGCUGUGGCUGGAGGACUAGGAGCAGAAGUGAGGAUCACUUCCAGGCAGAGGCUUUAAGAGCCUGGGUGCAGUUGGCCAUGCAGGAGCAUGCCUCAGACGGAGCCCCCUCCACCAGCCCAGAUUCCUGAGAGACUGUGGUGAGCAGGACCUCCCACUUCUUCCCACCGACCCCGCCGUGGAUAAGUAGCAGGAGCCAGAAAUAAACCUUUGUUGUGUAAGCCACUGAGAUUUGGGGUCAUUGAUGACCGCAUCAUGAGCCAGCCUAGCCUGAUACAACGUUAGGACCCGCUCACGUGAGGCUGGGCCGUUCCUUUGUGGGACUGGAUUCCCAAGGGCCCCCAGCCCUGGGCUCUAACCCCAGACACUAUUUCCACGAGACACUAGGAGGGUUUUACACACACAGCAAGGGGCUGACUGAAGAGCCAAACAAAUCCUUAUCCAAGUUUCCAAUCCUCCCAAACCCGAUUUGCCCCGUCUUGAAUUCUGCUCUGGGCUAGAAUCACACCUGUAGCUGCCUCGGCAGCGCUGCUCGCUGGGGGCCAUCCUGAACAUACGGCGUCUCUACCGCAGUGUGAAAUUCCACAGCAACAAUGGGGUGCCCACCCGUAUGUGCUGACAUCAUCUCAGCGCCAGGCAGAGACCCAGACUCACCUCUGUCCGGAGAACUCCAAAGUCGGCCGAGGCACCAACACUCACCUGAACCACCACCAUGAAGAACAUGAGAGAAUGAGAGAAAUAGUAUGAGAGAGUUGCCCGGCGUGGAGCGGGGACGGAUGGAUCCCUAAACCCCACACCAGGGAUUAGGGAUCACAUUAUCCACACGUGGGAUUAUCAGCCACCGGCUGCAAGUGUUGGUCCCCCAGGCCUCUCCUAGCAGUUAUCUGUUGUGUUCAUUUGGUCCUCACCAGACACUGAUCUCUCAUCUCCCAGUCUGCACUGAAAGAGCCGGGAGGCCAAGGACACUUUGCUGGCCCGAGGGACCCUCACCUCGGGGCCGGGCUGGUCCCAGCGCACAGCGAAUGCCGACUGACUGGUCAAGGAGCUUUGCUCCUGCAGGGGACACGAAUACUCAGCGCGGGACGACUUCUCUCCCCGGCCCUGCUCGCACCUUGGUGUGAGCCCCCCGCGUCCCUGCCCGGAGCGCCAGAGCCUCAUCUCCAGGCGCUUCAUUCUCUGGACCUGGUCCAAGAAGUUGUUGGACACAGAGCAUCUGUCAUUCACUUUCUCAGCUUCCUCCUGAGGAGCGUGUGUGUGUCAGAAAAGCUGUCAGCAGGGAGUAUAAACACCACAGACACACCCGCACGAGCACAAGCACAACCUCCUUUUUCUCGUGCUCGCUGGGUUUGGACUGAGGCAGACGUGGUGCGUCCCGAGCUGCUCUGUCCUUCUCUCCUCCGCAGGGCCUGGUGACGGAGCGGGUCCUCGCGCCGCGGGGCCUCGCUGACCCGACAGCCUGCAGAGGACGAGGAGGCUGACCCUCCCGAGUAAGGGAGCAUUCCUCCUGCCCGACUCUGCCUUUGAACUGCGACACGGGUCUCGCCUGCCAUCAGACUCGAACUGCCACACUGGCUUUCCCUGGGGCUUGAGCCUGGAGCUACACCCUGGGCUCGCCCGGGGUCUCCAGCUUGUCAAGUCCCCCCGCGGCCCGCGGGACUUGUCAGCUUCCAUAAUCACAAAAGCCAGCUCAUGUAGUCCAUCUCUUGUACAGACAGGUGGCAGAGAUAUGGGUAUAAAUAUGCACGUUGUUGGUCCUGUUGCUCUAGAGGGUUCCGACUUGUAACAGAUUUGGCGCCGGGCGCUUAAAGGCCUAGUCUGCAAAUGCAGCCCCAGUCUGAGGUACUGGGUGAGGGCUUCCGCAUACCACUUUGCGGGGCGGGGGAUGGUGCGGUGGACAGAGUCCAGCUGUAACAGGCCUGGCCGGUCCAUCCGCCCCCCCUGCUGCCUGCCCCCCGUCUGUCCCCUCGGCACUCCUCUCCUGCCCUGCUGCGGGACAACGGACGGCCGAGUCAGCUCAGCCGGGCCUCUGGAGACGGCCGUUCUCCAUUCCAGCUGCGUCUCUCCGCCGGCAGGGUCAGGGGCUUGCUUCCGGCGGCUGCGCUUCGAGAACGGCACUUCCCGACUUCCCGACUUGCAAACGUCGGCGCGGGUGAGCUGCUCUCGCGGGCCCUGCGGCGCUGCCCGCUGUCGAGGGCCGAGCCCCGCACGGCCGUUCCGGGAACCGUCCCUGCCGGCUCCGCGUGAACAGACGUCCGGUUCGCAUUUCCUUGCGCAAUUAUUCUAGCCCAAGUCCUGGGAGGCCAGCCUUGGUUCCCACGCCAGAAGGGCCUGGAGUCCCGUAUUUCACCGCCAGUUUGGCCCUUCGGGGGUGCCGGGAGUUGGGCGGCCCGUACGGAUGGAAGCAGAUGUGCCCCCGGCUCUGAGAGCUUAUCGUCAAGAGCCUCGCGGCCUCUAGAGCUUGCAUCUUGCUAACCUGUGGU